rnacentral:rRNA from 1 species
AUGUAUGUCAGAAACUUGGCGAGAAAGUUUCAUCGCAACCGCUCCCCGACGCUCUUGUUCAAACUGGACAUCAAAAAGGCGUUUGACUCUGUACGUUGGGACUUCCUCAUGGACCUGCUGAAACACCUUGGCUUCCCUAACAGAUUUCGCGACUGGGUUUCAGCUUUGCUCUCUACCGCCACUUCGAGGGUGUUGAUCAAUGGAGUUUUGGGUGAUCCGUUGAAGCAUGGAUGUGGCCUUUGCCAGGGGGACCCGUUGUCCCCU